rnacentral:rRNA from 1 species
CACGUGGGUAACCUGCCCAAGAGACUGGGAUAACACCUGGAAACAGAUGCUAAUACCGGAUAACAACACUAGACGCAUGUCUAGAGUUUGAAAGAUGGUUCUGCUAUCACUCUUGGAUGGACCUGCGGUGCAUUAGCUAGUUGGUAAGGUAACGGCUUACCAAGGCAAUGAUGCAUAGCCGAGUUGAGAGACUGAUCGGCCACAUUGGGACUGAGACACGGCCCAAACUCCUACGGGAGGCAGCAGUAGGGAAUCUUCCACAAUGGACGAAAGUCUGAUGGAGCAACGCCGCGUGAGUGAAGAAGGGUUUCGGCUCGUAAAGCUCUGUUGGUAGUGAAGAAAGAUAGAGGUAGUAACUGGCCUUUAUUUGACGGUAAUUACUUAGAAAGUCACGGCUAACUACGUGCCAGCAGCCGCGGUAAUACGUAGGUGGCAAGCGUUGUCCGGAUUUAUUGGGCGUAAAGCGAGUGCAGGCGGUUCAAUAAGUCUGAUGUGAAAGCCUUCGGCUCAACCGGAGAAUUGCAUCAGAAACUGUUGAACUUGAGUGCAGAAGAGGAGAGUGGAACUCCAUGUGUAGCGGUGGAAUGCGUAGAUAUAUGGAAGAACACCAGUUGGCGAAGGCGGCUCUCUGGUCUGCAACUGACGCUGAAGGCUCGAAAGCAUGGGUUAGCGAACAGGAAUUAAAAUACCCUGGGUAGUCCAUGCCGUAAAC